rnacentral:rRNA from 1 species
CCUACGGGAGGCUGCAGUGGGGAAUAUUGGACAAUGGGGGCAACCCUGAUCCAGCCAUGCCGCGUGUGUGAAGAAGGCCCUCGGGUUGUAAAGCACUUUCAGUGAGGAAGAACGCCUGGUGGUUAAUACCCAUCAGGAAAGACAUCACUCACAGAAGAAGCACCGGCUAACUCCGUGCCAGCAGCCGCGGUAAUACGGAGGGUGCGAGCGUUAAUCGGAAUUACUGGGCGUAAAGCGCGCGUAGGUGGCUUGAUAAGCCGGGUGUGAAAGCCCCGGGCUCAACCUGGGAACGGCAUCCGGAACUGUCAAGCUAGAGUGCAGGAGAGGAAGGUAGAAUUCCCGGUGUAGCGGUGAAAUGCGUAGAGAUCGGGAGGAAUACCAGUGGCGAAGGCGGCCUUCUGGACUGACACUGACACUGAGGUGCGAAAGCGUGGGUAGCAAACAGGAUUAGAUACCCCAGUAGUC